rnacentral:rRNA from 1 species
AUGUACAUUGUCCACAUCAACACCAUGCCAUGUCAUCAUUCAGUUUGCAAAGAGGAGCCAAUUGGUCUGAUUCAUCCUACGGCCACGGAGGUAGAAAAAGACUUCCUCCGUUUCCACGGCCGUUUUAUGUUGAACUUCGUGGAAAGGGUCAGUUUUGUGGUUUUUCACCAACCGCUCGACCCCCGCCGCCGCCCCUUCUGGCCAGGUGCUCGACCCCCCGCCGCCGCGCGGCUGCCCCUUCUGGCCAAAGGCUCAACCCCCCGCCUCCGUGCCUGCUCGGCCCCGCCUCCGUGCCUGCUCGGCCCCGCCGCCGCGCCUGCUCGCCAGCCGCUCAGCCCCUUCACGCCCCCGACACCCUCCGCUUUCCUGGGGCUGACACGCCGCCGUGAGCAUAGGCUGCAGCACGCCCCCGACCGACGCCGGCGUCCGAGCGGCACCUCCGCCGCAGGGGGUCCGGGCCGUGGCAGCACGCCCCCGGGCGCCGACGAAGUGUACUUCCCCUGCUAUUUUACUGCCAUUUAUCAAAUGGCUUGCUGCCUUUCAUCAAGUGAUUACAGUGCACCAUGUACUGUCCGAAACCUUUCAUAUAAACAAAGUGGAGAUUACACAUCUGUUUUGGACCUAGAGCCAUAUUCAUUGCCAAUAAGAGCAGCUUCUGCAUGGAUCAAGGCUGUACUUGUUAUUGCAAAUGAGUUAUUGCUUUGUAUUUUUACAUGCCGGCGGUUGUAUAAAGAUGGUACUGAAGGAGGCUUUGCAACUAGCAAGGUUAUAAUUGCUAAAGAAGCAGAAGGAGAUUUUGAAUAUUUGGUCCGACAACUUCCACCUGAUCAGUUUGAGAAUAAAAGCAGAAGAAUGCAUCCAGCGAGCAAUGAUUAA